UCCUCCGUGGCGCAAUUGGCUAGCGCGUCCGGCUGUUAUCAUGACAGCCAACCGGGAGGUUCGUGGUUCAAGCCCACGCGGGGGAG